rnacentral:rRNA from 1 species
UGGGGAAUCUUGGACAAUGGGCGAAAGCCUGAUCCAGCGACGCCGCGUGGGGGAUGAAGCCCUUCGGGGUGUAAACCCCUGUUGCGAGGGAGGGAUAAGGCCUGGAGGAAAUGCCAGGCCGAUGACUGUACCUCGCGAGGAAGCCCCGGCUAACUACGUGCCAGCAGCCGCGGUAAUACGUAGGGGGCGAGCGUUACCCGGAUUCACUGGGCGUAAAGCGGGUGUAGGCGGCUCGGUAAGUCGGGUGUGAAAUCCCACAGCUCAACUGUGGAACUGCGCCCGAAACUGCUGAGCUUGGGGCCGGUAGAGGGAGACGGAACUGCCGGUGUAGGGGUGAAAUCCGUAGAUAUCGGCAGGAACGCCGGUGGGGAAGCCGGUCUCCUGGGCCGCGCCCGACGCUGAGACCCGAAAGCUAGGGGAGCAAACC